UGGCUCAGAUUGAACGCUGGCGGCGUGCUUAACACAUGCAAGUCGCGCGUGAAAGGACUUCGGUCCGAGUAAAGCGGCGCACGGGUGAGUAACGCGUGGAUGAUCUACCCAUGAGUUAGGAAUAACGGCUGGAAACGGUCGCUAAUACCAAAUACGCUCCGAUUUCAACUUCGGGGGAAAGGUGGCCUCUGCUUGCAAGCUACUGCUCAUGGAUGAGUCCGCGUCCCAUUAGCUAGUUGGUGGGGUAACGGCCCACCAAGGCGACGAUGGGUAGCCGGUCUGAGAGGAUGACCGGCCACACUGGGACUGGAACACGGCCCAGACUCCUACGGGAGGCAGCAGUGGGGAAUAUUGCGCAAUGGGCGAAAGCCUGACGCAGCGACGCCGCGUGAGGGAUGAAAGGUCCUCGGAUCGUAAACCUCUGUCAGGAGGGAAGAACCGCCACGGUGCUAAUCAGCCGUGGUCUGACGGUACCUCCAAAGGAAGCACCGGCUAACUCCGUGCCAGCAGCAGC
rnacentral:rRNA from 1 species